GCCAGGUGUGGUGGUGGGCACCUGUAAUCCCAGCUACUUGGGAGGCUGAGGCAGGAGAAUCGCUUGAACCUGGGAGGCAGAGGUUGCAGUGAGCCAAGAUCGCACCACUGCACUCCAGCCUGGGUGACAGAGUGAGACCCUGUCUCAG
rnacentral:SRP_RNA from 2 species